rnacentral:rRNA from 1 species
UAGGGAAUCUUGCGCAAUGGGGGAAACCCUGACGCAGCGACGCCGCGUGCGGGAUGAAGGCCUUCGGGUUGUAAACCGCUUUCAGCAGGGACGAAAUUGACGGUACCUGCAGAAGAAGGCCCGGCCAACUACGUGCCAGCAGCCGCGGUAAUACGUAGGGGCCUAGCGUUGUCCGGAUUUAUUGGGCGUAAAGAGCUCGUAGGCGGUUCGGUAAGUCAGGUGUGAAAUCUCCACGCUCAACGUGGAGGAGCCACCUGAUACUGCCGUGACUUGAGUCCGGUAGGGGAGUGUGGAAUUCCCGGUGUAGCGGUGAAAUGCGCAGAUAUCGGGAGGAACACCAGUAGCGAAGGCGGCACUCUGGGCCGGUACUGACGCUGAGGAGCGAAAGCGUGGGGAGCAAACAGGAUUAGAUACCCUGGUAGUCCACGCCGUAAACGUUGGGCACUAGGUGUGGGACUCUAUCGACGGGUUCCGUGCCGUAGCUAACGCAUUAAGUGCCCCGCCUGGGGAGUACGGCCG